GGGGAUGUGGCUCAAGCGGUAGAGUGCUUACCUGGGAUGAACGCGGCCCUGGGUUCGAUCCUCAGCAUCAUGU
rnacentral:tRNA from 1 species